AGGCGGGGGGCUCGAGGGUUGAGAUGACGCUCGGACAGGCAUGCCCGCCAGAGUGCUGGCGGGCGCAAUGUGCGUUCAAAGAUUCGAUGGUUCACUGAAUUCUGCAAUUCACAUUACUUAUCGCAUUUCGCUGCGUUCUUCAUCGAUGCCAGAAC
rnacentral:rRNA from 1 species